UUCGCCCUUAGAGUUUGAUCCUGGCUCAGGACGAACGCUGGUCGGCGCGCCUAACACAUGCAAGUCGAACGAGCGAGAGAGAGCUUGCUUUCUCAAGCGAGUGGCGAACGGGUGAGUAACGCGUGAGGAACCUGCCUCAAAGAGGGGGACAACAGUUGGAAACGACUGCUAAUACCGCAUAAGCCCACAGCUUGGCAUCGAGCAGAGGGAAAAGGAGCAAUCCGCUUUGAGAUGGCCUCGCGUCCGAUUAGCUAGUUGGUGAGGUAACGGCCCACCAAGGCAACGAUCGGUAGCCGGACUGAGAGGUUGAACGGCCACAUUGGGACUGAGACACGGCCCAGACUCCUACGGGAGGCAGCAGUGGGGAAUAUUGCACAAUGGGGGAAACCCUGAUGCAGCGACGCCGCGUGGAGGAAGAAGGUCUUCGGAUUGUAAACUCCUGUUGUUGAGGAAGAUAAUGACGGUACUCAACAAGGAAGUGACGGCUAACUACGUGCCACCAGCCGCGGUAAAACGUAGGUCACAAGCGUUGUCCGGAAUUACUGGGUGUAAAGGGAGCGCAGGCGGGAAGACAAGUUGGAAGUGAAAUCUAUGGGCUCACACCAUAAACUGAUUUCAAAACUGUUUUUCUUGACUAAUGCAGACGUACGCGGCAUUCCCGGUGUAUCGGUGGAAUGCGUAGAUAUCGGGAGGAACACCAGGGCGAAGGCGGCAUACUGGCAACCAACUGACCCUGAGGCUCGAAAGUGUGGUAGCAAACAGGAUAAGAUACGCUGGUAGUCCACACCGUAAACGAUGAUUACUAGGUGUUGGAGGAUUGACCCCUUCAGUGCCGCAGUUAACACAAUAAGUAAUCCACCUGGGGAGUACGACCGCAAGGUUGAAACUCAAAGGAAUUGACGGGGGCCCGCACAAGCAGUGGAGUAUGUGGUUUAAUUCGACGCAACGCGAAGAACCUUACCAAGCCUUGACAUCCCUUGACGAACAUAGAAAUAUGUUUUCUCUUCGGAGCAAGGAGACAGGUGGUGCAUGGUUGUCGUCAGCUCGUGUCGUGAGAUGUUGGGUUAAGUCCCGCAACGAGCGCAACCCCUACUGUCAGUUACUACGCAAGAGGACUCUGGCAGGACUGCCGUUGACAAAACGGAGGAAGGUGGGGAUGACGUCAAAUCAUCAUGCCCUUUAUGACUUGGGCUACACACGUACUACAAUGGCGUUAAACAAAGAGAAGCAAGACCGCGAGGUGGAGCAAAACUCAGAAACAACGUCCCAGUUCGGACUGCAGGCUGCAACUCGCCUGCACGAAGUCGGAAUUGCUAGUAAUCGUGGAUCAGCAUGCCACGGUGAAUACGUUCCCGGGCCCUUGUACACACCGCCCGUC
rnacentral:rRNA from 1 species